AUCAGUAAACAUUAGGAAAAGAUACAGCCAUACAGGUAAAUAAAAUUAUCUAUUAUUCAUAUUAUAUGUGAAAAUGUUGGAAAUGCUGAUAGAUGCUGGUAUGAAUAUUACUAGGUUGUAUAUCUAAAUUUAAAACUUUUGUAAACCCAAGAAAGACAUCAAAAAUCUUUAACAUAUAAAUAAGUUUUUACACAUUCCUUUGACUAAUGCUUUAGACACUUAUGUCCGAAGCGAAUCUCCAGGCUCGCCGAACGGAGAAAAUUGUGCAUUAAAAAAGAGAUUAAAUUGAAUAAAAGGCGGUAAAUUUCACUUUUCGGCGGAUAACAAAUUUGAAAGUAGUGGCUAAAAUAAAAAAGUUUAUAUUGACUUUGUAUAAAUAUCACUCAAAUCGUGAAAGAUAAUGAUAUUGUAAUAUGUGGACGAUGAUUUGGCGCGUUAUAGACAGUUAUAAAAAUUGGUAAAAAUUUGCAGUUUAUUUUAGGAUGGCUUGGACUGAAAUCAAUAAAUUGUAUCGUUUAUAAAUUUAUUGAUUGUAUGGUGGAGAAUGUAAGCACCCCAUGUCGGGUAGCCACAAAAGAAUAAAUCGACCAGGUUUGGCCGUACCAGCUGUUCUAGAAACAAAUAAAUUAUCUACUAUUUGCGGCAGAACAUUAUUUAAAUCAUUCAUUAGAGAAGCGUCUGUAGUAAAAAAUAUACGAAACAUUUUGGGUAAGCGUAUACCAGUUUACACUAGUUACUUGUGCUAAGUACUACUCAAUUUUAAAUGAACUCGAUAGGCACAUAUUAGUCCUUCCAAAAAUUGAGAGCCAUCAGGGUAUAACAAAAUUUCCGUCUAUAAUGUAUGUACCUGACGGUAUAUGGCAGCCGGACGGUCAGAGGUGACCCAGGUAUCGAAGUUCCUCCAGAAAAAUCAUUUUUUACACAACAAUCAAUUCAUCAAUAUUAUGUCACAGUAUAAUAUUACAGCGGAGCCAGAGACUUGUGCUACACUAAUGUUGGCGUCAAUGAUGAAAAUAAAAACUUCUAGCUAGCAACUAGAGCAAAAUCUACUGACGUAGCCAAUGUGAUUACGACAGAGUAGAUUGUGUUAUAGGUAUGUUAUCAAGAGAAACUGCCAAAGGUCACUUUCCAGUUGAAUGAAUGUAUGCAAACUAUGGACAAGCUAUGUCGGAAAGCCGAAUCCACUGUGGCGGAAGAUAUUUUACGAUAGCAUGUUUUUAAGUAUAAAUUCAAUGAUGAGUUGUCUUGAACAACCAGGACAAAUAUCUGGAUUUUGCAAAUUUCAAGGAAUAUUGAACUCUAUAAAGAUGCUGUUGUGCCAACUAAAGAAGGUCGACUCUGUUAAUUUUUUCUUCUGUGAUCACUGCAUUGAUAUCAUAAAGAAAGG